rnacentral:tRNA from 1 species
UUCUUUUUCCUUUCAUUGCCCACGUAUUCGUUCGGAAGAUUAAUCCACAAUGAUUUCAAACAAUA